rnacentral:rRNA from 1 species
AUUGAACGCUGGCGGCAGGCCUAACACAUGCAAGUCGAGCGAGCGGCGGACGGGUGAGGAAUGUAUGGGGACUGCCCGCUAGAGGGGGAUAACUACAGGAAACGGUAGCUAAUACCGCAUACUAUCGGAUAACCCAUAUGGGAUUAGCUAGUAGGUGAGGUAAUGGCUCACCUAGGCGACGAUCCCUAGCUGGUCUGAGAGGAUGACCAGCCACACUGGGACUGAGACACGGCCCAGACUCCUACGGAGGCAGCAGUGGGGAAUAUUGGACAAUGGGGGCAAGCCUGAUGCAGCCAUGCCGCGUGUAUGAAGAAGGCCCUAGGGUUGUAAAGUACUUUCAGUCGGGAGGCGUUACCGACAGAAGAAGCACCGGCUAACUCCGUGCCAGCAGCCGCGGUAAUAC